AAACUUUCAACAACGGAUCUCUUGGUUCUGGCAUCGAUGAAGAACGCAGCGAAAUGCGAUAAGUAAUGCGAAUUGCAGAUACCGUGAGUCAUCGAAUCUUUGAACGCACAUUGCGCCCUUUGGUAUUCCGAAGGGCAUGCCUGUCCGAGCGUCAUUA
rnacentral:rRNA from 1 species